rnacentral:misc_RNA from 1 species
CGCACAUUGCGCCCUUUGGUAUUCCGAAGGGCAUGCCUGUUCGAGCGUCAUUAUCAACCUUCAAGCCUGGCUUGCGAUUGGGUCCUGUUGGGGAUAUCCCUCGACAGACUCGAAAGACAAUGUCCGAGCCCGUGGGGACCUGGAUGCAGCGAGCUUUGCAGCACGCAUCUCAGCGAUCCUCCGGCUCGGUCUGAACCUUGUUUCUCCAUGGUUGACCUCGGAUCAGGUAGGGAUACCCGCUGAACUUAA